AUGUACAAAACCACCAGAACACACAGGUCUAGAUUACUGUGUACUUACAGUCAGCUCUGCCACCAGGAAGGAAUCUCAUUUCUAUGGAAAUUAAAACCAGGUCUUCAAUCCAGGAUUAAAGCAGAAAUAUAUCUUUGUUUCAAAGACCGCUACAGUAAAUUGUCUUUAUUUAAAGCUGUAUUUCCAACCUGUUAUGUUAAUUACAUUUUUGGUGGUGACACUAUGAAAGUGAAUUGUAUAGUCAAAAAAGAUUCCUCUAAUGUAUUUGAUUCACUAUCACAAUUUACUCUUGGGUAAUAAAAAUUAAUUCCUGCUAUCUUCUUCCCCCCUCCUUUGAUUACCAUUUUGCCUUUUUUUUUUUUGUCAAUAUGCCUGAGUUUUUUCUUUAUAUCCUGUCUGUAAAAUAAUUUGAGAGCAAUGCAUGUAUGCUUAUUUUGCUCAUUUGGAAAUUAUUCAAUUAUUUAUUCUCAACCUGACAUGAACCUGGGGGAGAGAGCUUGGAAAAAAAAGAACCUGUAAAUCCAACUAUUUUCACUAAACUUUAUAUUUGAGGAAGAAGGAAAGCUUAAACACUUAAGAAGAAUAAAAAAGUGCCCUUUAUUGCUGCCCA
rnacentral:lncRNA from 1 species